UUUUGAGAGAAGUGGCGUGUGAAUUAGUUUACCUUGAGUAAGACUUCUUGUUUUCACAACACAAGGCAUGCAUACACAAUUUAUGUUUUAGGUUUUAGGUGGUGUUUGCAAAUGUUUUUUGAAAGUGAUUAUGAGCUUUUUUUUUUGCUCAUAAUCUGUUUUAGGUGUUUGCAAAAUCAACUUUUGUUUUUGCUUCUCUUAAAAUAAUCUGCUUCAGGGUUAGGGGUGCUUUUAAAAAAAUAGCUUAAAGCAGAUUAUUUUAAGAUAAACAAAAGCAAAAGUUAAUUUUACAAACACCUGAAAACAGAUUAUGAGCAAAAAAAAUUCAUAAUCACUUUCAAAAAGCUUUUACAAACACCACCUUAAUUAGAGUAAAUUAGAGAAAGAUUAGUGUUUCAAAUAGGCCUAAAGCCUAAUUAUCAGAAGUGAGUGAGUGUUUGUAAUCCUCCGUGAUUUUUAUUCGGAAAUGCUAUUUGCCGUCACAAAAUUGCUAUUCGCGGUUUCUAACAAAACCACCCAAAACUUUUAAAAAUAUCAAAAAACUCCCCAAAACUGCAAAUAGCAAAAAAAAAAGAAAAAAAAUUCGAAAAUUCGAAAUCAAGCUUGAAGAAGGGUUGGGCUUCGAUUUUUUGAUGUAAUUUCGACUCUUUUAUGUGUAAUAUGCAUUGGGUAGGUCGAUUACAGAACCAAUUUCAUGUUAAAAAGCCCUACAAAUCGAUUUGUAGGGCUUUUUUUUUUCGCAAAAAAAUGGUCGAACGCCCAAGAUGGGCGNNNNNNNNNNNNNNNNNNNNNNNNNNNNNNNNNNNNNNNNNNNNNNNNNNNNNNNNNNNNNNNNNNNNNNNNNNNNNNNNNNNNNNNNNNNNNNNNNNNNUAGUGAAAUAAAGUGUUUUUCUGGGGGGUUUUGUUAGAAACCGCAAAUAGCAAUUUUCAAACCGCAAAAAACAAUUCCCUUUUUAUUUUAGUUUAUUGAAUAGAGAUAUUAAUUCAUUUAAUAGAUCUAUGUGUAAAGAUACCCAAAAAAUCGGACUAUAUUUUUUAAUUAAUUUUUGGAUUUAUAUUUAUUGUUUCCUUAUUUUAAUUUGUCAUAGAUAGUUGGACUUGGAGGUAUAUCGGUGGUGCGUUUUGUUCUGUCAUUGUCAAUCCAUCAUCCGAUUUUGUAUAAAUCAAUUACAGUUUUUCUAUAUUUGUUGUUUUGUAAAAAAAUAGUUGGUUUUCAUUUUCUUUGUAGUUGCUUUUGUUAUUGGUUUCGGUUUGUUAUUGUUUGGAUUCUUUUGUUGAAUUGUGUUAGGUUUCAUUGACACUAUUGCGGUUGUUUAUGUUACUUUAUUGGUAGCCAAUUUCAUUAUUCAACUAUGGUAUUAAUGGUCAGUUCGUUAAUCGGCUAUGCUUUCGUCGAUUAAUAUCGUAGUCCAUGAAUACAACUGAUAGGGAAAAAAAGGUUUAAAAAGCAAAGAAUUUUGGAUACAUAAAAGCAAAGAAUUUUCGAUUAAUAAUGAAAUAAUUAAAAAAUAAAAAAUAAGAAACGGAAAUUAUUUUUCUUUAAAAACGAAAAAAAAAUACAAGAAUGGGGAUUGAUGUAGUAGAAAAAAGAUAGUGAAAAUGAAUUUUGGAUACAUAAAAGAUGAAAAGAACAUGAGUUUAUCUUAAAAAGUAAAUUUUGAUUGAACAUCUUAACCUAUUAAUGAAAGGUUUUUGGAGUUUUCUCAAAAAGCGCUUGUGACUUUAUAUGCAUUAAGGUGGUGUUUGCAAAUGAUUAUUUAAAAGCAGAAGUUAGUGAUUGUGAUUUAAGUUAGUUUUAAAUGCUUAUUUCUAAAAGUUGGGGGUGUUUGCAAAUAUUUCGGAAAAUGAACUAAAAUUGAAAAAGCAGGGUUAUGAAUGCUUUUAAAAAAAUAGCUUAAAGCAGAUUAUUUUAAGAGAAGCAAAAGCAAAAGUUGAUUUUGCAAACACCUAAAAACAGAUUAUGAGCAAAAAAAACCGCAUAAUCACUUUCAAAAAGCAUUUGCAAACACCACCUAAAUACAGGAAAAAUGGGCGGCUCGAUUUUGAGAGAAGUGACGUGUGAAUUAGUUUACUUUGAGUAGGACUUCUUGUUUUCAAUUUGCCCUUUAAAUAAACUAUAUAAGGAGAGUUGUGUUCUUCUCCAUAACACAUUUAUUUUGAAAUUUCUUCUUCUUCCCUUUGUAGCGAAUAUUAGAAAUUGCAUCCGCAAAAUAUAUAGAAUGGCUAACUUUCGAAAAAUGAGGUUCGCUAUGGAAGUAGCUCCUCCGAAGUUUGUCUUAGUGGCAAAGCGCCCCCUAAUCCAAAUUUUGGACACUAUUUAUGAGGAAGAAGCAUACACAUCACAAGGCAUAAUAUAUACACCAUUUAUGUCUUAUUAGUACCUUUCAUUAGAAUAAAGUCGAUCGAGAGCCGUGGUUUUUUCGAUUAUUGUUCGUUGUGUUUAGUGAAGGAAGAUUUCUUCUCACUUAAGAGGGGUUUUUUUUUUUUGUUUUAUUGUUUCAAAUAGGCCUCGUUAUCAGAGGUGAGUGAGUUUUUGUAAUUUUGCCGGGAUUUUUUUGUUUUGGUUUAUUGAAUAAAGAUAUUAAUUCAUUUAGUAGAUCUGUGUGCGAAGAUGUAAGAAAUAUGUAUUCAUCGUACGUAUAAAUCAUCAACUGCGGACACACUACGGUGAUUGUACGUCCUAACGUCGACCAUAUUCGAAAUAAAAUCAGCAGAAAGAGAGAAAUUACUAUAGAGAAUAAAAC
rnacentral:lncRNA from 1 species